UGGCGAUGACAAUCAAAUCAUGUAUUUUUUCUGCCAUGCUUUAAAGUGAAUGGCUUACUAUUUUCCAUGCAAUACGGACAUGCUAGCUUUCCAGCUGUCAUCCAACCAGACAACAUCCCGUAUGCAGGAAAAUCAUUAAUAGUCCACAUUAAAGAAGCACGCAUGAUAAAAUUCUGCUUAGUUGAUAUAUCAUAAGUCAAAACGCCUUCAAACCACAAUUGUUUGAGCUCAUCUAUCAAUGGUUGUAGAUAGACAUCAAUCAAACUUUUUGGAUU
rnacentral:lncRNA from 1 species